CGUAGGGUGCUAGCGUUGUUCGGAAUUAUUGGGCGUAAAGCGCGUGUAGGCGGUUAGAUAAGUCGGGUGUGAAAGCCCUGGGCUCAACCCAGGAAGUGCAUUCGAAACUAUCUAGCUUGAAUUCGGUAGAGGAAGGUGGAAUUCCUAGUGUAGAGGUGAAAUUCGUAGAUAUUAGGAGGAAUACCGGUGGCGAAGGCGGCCUUCUGGACCGAUAUUGACGCUAAGACGCGAAAGCGUGGGGAUCAAACAGGAUUAGAUACCCUGGUAGUCCACGCCGUAAACGAUGGGUACUAGAUGUUGCGGGAAUUGACCCCUGCAGUGUCGACGCUAACGCAUUAAGUACCCCGCCUGGGAAGUACGGUCGCAAGAUUA
rnacentral:rRNA from 1 species